AUUGAACGCUGGCGGCAGGCCUAACACAUGCAAGUCGAGCGGAUGAAGGGAGCUUGCUCCUGGAUUCAGCGGCGGACGGGUGAGUAAUGCCUAGGAAUCUGCCUGGUAGUGGGGGAUAACGUCCGGAAACGGGCGCUAAUAGCGCAUACGUCCUGAGGGAGAAAGUGGGGGAUCUUCGGACCUCACGCUAUCAGAUGAGCCUAGGUCGGAUUAGCUAGUUGGUGGGGUAAAGGCCUACCAAGGCGACGAUCCGUAACUGGUCUGAGAGGAUGAUCAGUCACACUGGAACUGAGACACGGUCCAGACUCCUACGGGAGGCAGCAGUGGGGAAUAUUGGACAAUGGGCGAAAGCCUGAUCCAGCCAUGCCGCGUGUGUGAAGAAGGUCUUCGGAUUGUAAGGCACUUUAAGUUGGGAGGAAGGGCAGUAAGUUAAUACCUUGCUGUUUUGACGUUACCAACAGAAUAAGCACCGGCUAACUUCGUG
rnacentral:rRNA from 1 species